CUUAGUAUCCAAUCAACAUGUGAUUAACCAAUUUCGAAUUCCAGAUUUCCAAAGCCGUCUCUUUAUCCAAAGUGUUUCAAAGUUCCAAGGGAUCGCAAGGAUUCCCGGCAUUGCUUACACUCAGGAUAACAUUACAAUUAGAAUAGUGCAAUGUGGAAUAGCCAACCCUCAGGCAUCCAAGUUCAGAUGGAGCUCCAGUAUCUCAAAGCAUGGCUUGCAAGAGAGGGACAGAACUUAGAGCUAGGAGUAAGUGCAAAAUGAUUGGGGAACCAUAAUAAAUGGUGGUCAUACCCAGUCACAGGUGUAGACUGGCACACCUCUGACCAUUUGUUUGGUCAAAAAAGUUAAGAGCAGACCUUAAAGGUCAGGCCUGCGUCUGAAUGAUGAUUAGGACACCACUAGACUUAAGUCAAGCUCAACACAUAAAGGGGAAAAGGGAAGUGGGAAUUGAUUUGAGCUAAGAGGGUUCAAAGAACCUUGUUCAAUGUCAUAGACAACAAUGUUGAGUGCUGCUAUGGUUGGAACUACAACUAACAAACAAAAGGGGUUGAAAGGGAAAGGAUUCACAUAAGCAUAUUAAUGGCAGAAGCAUAAGGAAAUAAAGCAUAAAAGACUAGGAAUUAACACAUGGUGAAGGAAAGCAUAACAGACCAAGAGGUAAACACAUAGUGAAGAAGACAUUAUUUAACUAGAACAUACCAGUUGCAAAGUAAUAAUGCAGUAGAACAACAGACUAAGCAAACAACCAGAAAUUAGCAGGAGCAGACUUAGGUCUUGAGAGUUCAGUGAGAACAUAAGAAUAUUGCAGAAGGUAGGAGGGAGAAAGGAGAGUAGAAAAUAGAGUGCUCAAUACUAUAGGUAAGAAAAGCAAUUUGAUGUGAGAGAGUUCAGUGCAGAAAAGUUGCGAUUUCGAAUGCAGAAGUAGUGUGUAGAUGUCUGAAAGUAUUGAAUUCGACGUGUAAGCAUGUCUUUAGUGCAAAAGAGCACCCCCUUUUAUAGUGCAGAAGACAAGUGAGAAGAAGGUAAGAAAAUAAUUUUGAAAGUCAAUCAUAAAGAUUUCCCUUCAGCCAAGGGAUUGAUUUCAAACGGGCAUAAUAAAUAAGGAAAUGGAAUAAUUUUAAAACCUUUUCCAGAGUAGCAUAAUAGGGGUAAAUAUACAGGGCAUUAUUUAAGGAAAUAGUUCAACAACACAAGUUUUGGACCAAAUAAUAAAAGACAAUCAAUUAACAGUCAGUAAAAUCAGGGUUGGAGUCUUAGCUCGAACGAACCCAACCCAUAAACACGAAUAGGAAACUUAAUUUAAAGAAAAUCAUCAACAAUCAAUAAAACACUUUUAAGAAGGGCUCGGAAUUAAUCACAGGCUGGCCAAAGGCCUUUUGAAAGAACAGAAUUUUUCAUAUAAAAAGAAUACAGAGACAAGAGAGAGUUCUUGCAAAACUAGCAAGAAAUCAGAGUAACCAAGAAAGUUAGAUUCACAUACUCAAAGUGAGUCUGGAAGAGAGUCAGGGUUCUGAAUGGAACCCUAGUUCAAACACAAGGUCGAGCUUGCAAAAAACCCCCAAAUACUAGGGUUUCUGACUCAAAUCAAAUGCAUAGAUGAGAAAACAACAGAUAAAAUACGCUCAAUAGUCUCUUUCAGAGACUUAUGAGAGAAUGAACAAAGAGAACAAUUGGUUUGAAAUACAUGGAAUUCAUUUAGGAGAAGCUUGUCACUCAAACAAGUUUAGAAGAGAAAAAGCAACACAUGUUUAGGAAAACAGUAGGUGAAGCAUGCUUAGGAAGAACUUGGGGAAAUCUGGUAAAGCGAGCAAACAUAAAGAACCCAGUAGGAGACACACACAAUAGAAAUCAUUUAGGAAAAAAUAGCAGAGACAGUCACAUGAGCUUAGUCUAAAAGCAGAGGAAAAUACAAAGCAUAGAAAAAGAAACAAAAAAUCAAGUUCAUGCGUAGUAGAGAAGAAACACAUGAGAUAAACACAGAUGAAAGGCUUGGAAGAGGUCUGCUCUGGAGUCGAUCUGAGCCAUAGCUAGGCUCUUAAGGCCCGAAUACGUCGGAACGGGGUCGGAGAGGCCAUAGAACCUCAGAUCUGUGGAGGAUAUUCUCGAACACAAUCGAGGCCAGAACUUGAAAUCUCUAACAAACAUGGCUUAGGAGUGAAGGAGGGUGAGCACAGGCUGUCCAUGGCCUGAGGAGCCAUGGACUCCGGUUAGAUUGGUCGGAGAAUUCGAAGGAGAUGAUUAGGGUUUCGAGUGUUUGAGCGCAUUUGAGAGAGUGAGAGAGUUUGAGGCUGG
rnacentral:lncRNA from 1 species